AUAUUUGUGUAAUUAUCCCCUAAACAUUUUAAUAUAUCAAAUUGGUCCUCUUUGACUACCCAAUCAGGAUCCAAAACAUUGGAUCCCUUUCUUUCUGAAGUGGCCACGUGGCACCCCCCCUCCACUCUUCUCUUUUCUCUCUCUGUUCCCCCGUGACUCCCUUCUUCUUUUCUUCUUCUUUCUGUUUUCUAUUCUUUUUCUUCUGUCUCCCUCUCGGCUCUCUCUCUCAUAUCUCCCUCAUCUCUCUUUUCUGCACCGCAGCACGCACGCACCCAUCUUCCUGCGCGAGGAACAUCACCAUCACCCUUCUCCCUCCUUCCUCAUUCCCACAACUUUUAAUUAUUUUUCGCUGUCUCUCUCUCUCUCCUCCCUGCUCGUCACUCUCUUCAGAUCCCAGUCUCUCUGCAAAUCCCAAAUUCCCGGUCGCCCCUCUCUCUCUCUCUAAAAUCCAUUCCGUCAGGGAUCAAAAUCCCAUCUUUUUCAUUCACAUACAAAACCCACACACAUAUUUAUAGAUCUGAUGCUCCUCCUUCC
rnacentral:lncRNA from 1 species